ACGGGAAGAACCUUACCAAGGCUUGACAUACCCCGAAAACACUCAAAAAAGGGUGCCCCCCAAGGUCGGUGUACAGGUGGUGCAUGGUUGUUGUCAGCUCGUGUCGUGAGAUGUUGGGUUAAGUCCCGCAACGAGCGCAACCCUCCUUCUAUGUUGCCAGCGGGUAGUGCCGGGGACUCAUAGGAGACUGCCGGGGUCAACUCGGAGGAAGGUGGGGAUGACGUCAAAUCAUCAUGCCCCUUAUGUCUUGGGCUUCACGCGUGCUACAAUGGCCGGUACAAAGGGCUGAAAAACCGUGAGGUGGAGCGAAUCCCAAAAAGCCGGUCUCUCA
rnacentral:rRNA from 1 species